rnacentral:rRNA from 1 species
AGUGAACGCUGGCGGUAGGCCUAACACAUGCAAGUCGAACGGCAGCACAGUAAGAGCUUGCUCUUACGGGUGGCGAGUGGCGGACGGGUGAGGAAUACAUCGGAAUCUACUUUUUCGUGGGGGAUAACGUAGGGAAACUUACGCUAAUACCGCAUACGACCUACGGGUGAAAGCAGGGGAUCUUCGGACCUUGCGCGAUUGAAUGAGCCGAUGUCGGAUUAGCUAGUUGGCGGGGUAAAGGCCCACCAAGGCGACGAUCCGUAGCUGGUCUGAGAGGAUGAGCAGCCACACUGGAACUGAGACACGGUCCAGACUCCGACGGGAGGCAGCAGGGGGGAAUAUUGGACAAUGGGCGCAAGCCUGAUCCAGCCAUACCGCGUGGGUGAAGAAGGCCUUCGGGUUGUAAAGCCCUUUUGUUGGGAAAGAAAAGCAGCAGGUUAAUACCCCGCUGUUCUGACGGUACCCAAAGAAUAAGCACCGGCUAACUUCGUG